GUUGCAGGGUAUAGACCCGAAACCCGGUGAUCUAGCCAUGGGCAGGUUGAAGGUUGGGUAACACUAACUGGAGGACCGAACCGACUAAUGUUGAAAAAUUAGCGGAUGACCUGUGGCUGGGGGUGAAAGGCCAAUCAAACCGGGAGAUAGCUGGUUCUCCCCGAAAGCUAUUUAGGUAGCGCCUCGUGAAUUCAUCUCCGGGGGUAGAGCACUGUUUCGGCUAGGGGGCCAUCCCGGCUUACCAACCCGAUGCAAACUGCGAAUACCGGAGAAUGUUAUCACGGGAGACACACGGCGGGUGCUAACGUCCGUCGUGAAGAGGGAAACAACCCAGACCGCCAGCUAAGGUCCCAAAGUCAUGGUUAAGUGGGAAACGAUGUGGGAAGGCCCAGACAGCCAGGAUGUUGGCUUAGAAGCAGCCAUCAUUUAAAGAAAGCGUAAUAGCUCACUGGUCGAGUCGGCCUGCGCGGAAGAUGUAACGGGGCUAAACCAUGCACCGAAGCUGCGGCAGCGAACGUAUCACCCAAGACAACUUUACGGAGUUGACGAUUGACGGAGCGAAGCGACGUCAAAGCGUUCAUUAAAGUCGAGUUGGCUUAGGGAUACGUUCGUUGGGUAGGGGAGCGUUCUGUAAGCCUGUGAAGGUGUGUCGUGAGGCAUGCUGGAGGUAUCAGAAGUGCGAAUGCUGACAUAAGUAACGAUAAAGCGGGUGAAAAGCCCGCUCGCCGGAAGACCAAGGGUUCCUGUCCAACGUUAAUCGGGGCAGGGUGAGUCGACCCCUAAGGCGAGGCCGAAAGGCGUAGUCGAUGGGAAACGGGUUAAUAUUCCCGUACUUGGUGUUACUGCGAAGGGGGGACGGAGAAGGCUAUGUUGGCCGGGCGACGGUUGUCCCGGUUUAAGCGUGUAGGUGUGUGUUCCAGGUAAAUCCGGUUCACUUUAACACUGAGGCGUGACGACGAGGCACUACGGUGCUGAAGCAACAAAUGCCCUGCUUCCAGGAAAAGCCUCUAAGCAUCAGGUAACAUCAAAUCGUACCCCAAACCGACACAGGUGGUCAGGUAGAGAAUACCAAGGCGCUUGAGAGAACUCGGGUGAAGGAACUAGGCAAAAUGGUGCCGUAACUUCGGGAGAAGGCACGCUGACACGUAGGUGAAGUGAUUUACUCAUGGAGCUGAAGUCAGUCGAAGAUACCAGCUGGCUGCAACUGUUUAUUAAAAACACAGCACUGUGCAAACACGAAAGUGGACGUAUACGGUGUGACGCCUGCCCGGUGCCGGAAGGUUAAUUGAUGGGGUCAGCGCAAGCGAAGCUCCUGAUCGAAGCCCCGGUAAACGGCGGCCGUAACUAUAACGGUCCUAAGGUAGCGAAAUUCCUUGUCGGGUAAGUUCCGACCUGCACGAAUGGCGUAAUGAUGGCCAGGCUGUCUCCACCCGAGACUCAGUGAAAUUGAACUCGCUGUGAAGAUGCAGUGUACCCGCGGCAAGACGGAAAGACCCCGUGAACCUUUACUAUAGCUUGACACUGAACAUUGAGCCUUGAUGUGUAGGAUAGGUGGGAGGCUUUGAAGUGUGGACGCCAGUCUGCAUGGAGCCGACCUUGAAAUACCACCCUUUAAUGUUUGAUGUUCUAACGUGGACCCGUAAUCCGGGUUGCGGACAGUGUCUGGUGGGUAGUUUGACUGGGGCGGUCUCCUCCUAAAGAGUAACGGAGGAGCACGAAGGUUGGCUAAUCCUGGUCGGACAUCAGGAGGUUAGUGCAAUGGCAUAAGCCAGCUUGACUGCGAGCGUGACGGCGCGAGCAGGUGCGAAAGCAGGUCAUAGUGAUCCGGUGGUUCUGAAUGGAAGGGCCAUCGCUCAACGGAUAAAAGGUACUCCGGGGAUAACAGGCUGAUACCGCCCAAGAGUUCAUAUCGACGGCGGUGUUUGGCACCUCGAUGUCGGCUCAUCACAUCCUGGGGCUGAAGUAGGUCCCAAGGGUAUGGCUGUUCGCCAUUUAAAGUGGUACGCGAGCUGGGUUUAGAACGUCGUGAGACAGUUCGGUCCCUAUCUGCCGUGGGCGCUGGAGAACUGAGGGGGGCUGCUCCUAGUACGAGAGGACCGGAGUGGACGCAUCACUGGUGUUCGGGUUGUCAUGCCAAUGGCACUGCCCGGUAGCUAAAUGCGGAAGAGAUAAGUGCUGAAAGCAUCUAAGCACGAAACUUGCCCCGA
rnacentral:rRNA from 2 species